CCGCCGAGCCAUUGCUAUUGGGAUCCGAUUCAGCCAUGCUAGUCGCACGGGUUAGACCCGUGGCGAAAAGCUCCGUAACACGUGGUCAAACUACCCUGUGGAGGAGGAUAACCUCGGGAAACUGAGGCUAAUACUCCAUACGGCUCCUCGCCUGGAACGGCGGGAGCUGGAAAAGCUACGGUGCCACAGGAUGUGACUGCGGCCGAUUAGGUAGACGGUGGGGUAACGGCCCACCGUGCCUAUAAUCGGUACGGGUUGUGAGAGCAAGAGCCCGGAGACGGAAUCUGAGACAAGAUUCCGGGCCCUACGGGGCGCAGCAGGCGCGAAACCUUUACACUGCACGACAGUGCGAUAAGGGGAUCCCCAGUGCGAGGGCAUACAGUCCUCGCUUUUCUGCACCGUAAGGUGGUGCAAGAAUAAGGGCUGGGCAAGACCGGUGCCAGCCGCCGCGGUAAUACCGGCAGCCCGAGUGAUGGCCGCUAUUAUUGGGCCUAAAGCGUCCGUAGCCGGCCGAACAGGUCCGUCGGGAAAUCUGCUCGCUUAACGAGCAGGCGUCCGGCGGAAACCAGUCGGCUUGGGGCCGGAAGAUCCGAGGGGUACGUCCGGGGUAGGAGUGAAAUCCCGUAAUCCCGGACGGACCGCCGGUGGCGAAAGCGCCUCGGGAAGACGGACCCGACGGUGAGGGACGAAAGCUAGGGUCGCGAACCGGAUUGGAUACCCGGGUAGUCCUAGCCGUAAACGAUGCCCACUAGGUGUGGCACAGGCUACGAGCCUGUGCUGUGCCGUAGGGAAGCCGUGAAGUGGGCCGCCUGGGAAGUACGUCUGCAAGGAUGAAACUUAAAGGAAUUGGCGGGGGAGCACUACAACCGGAGGAGCCUGCGGUUUAUUGAUUAC
rnacentral:rRNA from 1 species